ensembl:rRNA 5S_rRNA 5S ribosomal RNA
GUUUACUGCCAUACCAGCCUGAAUGCACCUGAUCUCGUCUGAUCUCAGAAGCUAAGCAGGGUUGGUGCUGGUUAGUACUUGGAUGGAAGACCUUAAACCAAAUACAAAAAUAACU